UUAACUGAAAUUUGUAUGGAGUUGGAACGAUUGUCUAAAUUUGCCACUAGGGGCGUUGUUCCAACUGCAUACUAAUUUGACUUA
rfam:Bombyx mori DNA, contig: Bm_scaf1_contig551, strain: p50T/Dazao, build 2, whole genome shotgun sequence.